UCUUCCCUCUUUCUUCGUGCCUAAUACAUGCAAGUCGAGCGAACAGACGAGGAGCUUGCUCCUCUGACGUUAGCGGCGGACGGGUGAGUAACACGUGGAUAACCUACCUAUAAGACUGGGAUAACUUCGGGAAACCGGAGCUAAUACCGGAUAAUAUAUUGAACCGCAUGGUUCAAUAGUGAAAGACGGUUUUGCUGUCACUUAUAGAUGGAUCCGCGCCGCAUUAGCUAGUUGGUAAGGUAACGUCUUACCAAGGCAACGAUGCGUAGCCGACCUGAGAGGGUGAUCGGCCACACUGGAACUGAGACACGGUCCAGACUCCUACGGGAGGCAGCAGUAGGGAAUCUUCCGCAAUGGGCGAAAGCCUGACGGAGCAACGCCGCGUGAGUGAUGAAGGUCUUCGGAUCGUAAAACUCUGUUAUUAGGGAAGAACAAAUGUGUAAGUAACUAUGCACGUCUUGACGGUACCUAAUCAGAAAGCCACGGCUAACUACGUG
rnacentral:rRNA from 1 species